rnacentral:lncRNA from 1 species
UUUUUUUGCUUUUUAUUUCUUUAUGUUUAUUUGUAAAUUUUUAUGUAUUUGUGGUGAAAAAUGGACUUAAAACAGUUAUUGAAAUGAAGAAUUACCUUCGGUUUUACUCACUUUUGAAUCUUCGAUCUUUUGUAUUCUGCCUGCUUGGAUGUUAUUUUGCGUUCAAACUCUAAUUAGGCUGCUAUUUUUUGCUCUAUAAUCGAACCUUCCUGUCGUUUUUAUUUU